UACGUAGGGGGCAAGCGUUGUCCGGAAUCAUUGGGCGUAAAGCGCGUGUAGGCGGUUCGGUAAGUCCGCUGUGAAAGUCGGGGGCUCAACCCUCGGAUGCCGGUGGAUACUGUCGAGCUUGAGUACGGAAGAGGCGAGUGGAAUUCCUGGUGUAGCGGUGAAAUGCGCAGAUAUCAGGAGGAACACCAAUUGCGAAGGCGGCUCACUGGCCCGGUACUGACGCUGAGGUGCGAAAGCGUGGGGAGCAAACAGG
rnacentral:rRNA from 1 species